rnacentral:rRNA from 1 species
GAUGAACGCUGGCGGCGUGCCUAAUACAUGCAAGUCGAGCGAACAGACGAGGAGCUUGCUCCUCUGACGUUAGCGUCGGACGGGUGAGUAACACGUGGAUAACCUCCCUAUAAGACUGGGAUAACUUCGGGAAACCGGAGCUAAUACCGGAUAAUAUAUUUAACCGCAUGGUUCAAUAGUGAAAGACGGUUUUGCUUUCACUUAUAGAUGGAUCCGCGCCGCAUUAGCUAGUUGGUAAGGUAACGGCUUACCAAGGCAACGAUGCGUAGCCGACCUGAGAGAGUGAUCGGCAACACUGGAACUGAGACACGGUCAAGACUCCUACGGGAGGAAGAAGUAGGGAAUCUUCCGCAAUGGGCGAAAGCUUGACGGAGAAACGCCGCGUGAGUGAUGAAGGUCUUCGGAUCGUAAAACUCGGUUAUUAGGGAAGAACAAAUGUGUAAGUAAAUAUGCAAGUAUUGACGGUACCUAAUCAGAAAGCCACGGCUAACUACGUG